UCGGGAAUUUUGGGCAAUGGGCGAAAGCCUGACCCAGCAACGCCGCGUGAAGGAUGAAGUAUUUCGGUAUGUAAACUUCGUAAGAAUAGGAAGAAUAAAUGACGGUACUAUUUGUAAGGUCCGGCUAACUACGUGCCAGCAGCCGCGGUAAUACGUAGGGACCAAGCGUUGUUCGGAUUUACUGGGCGUAAAGGGCGCGUAGGCGGUGUGUCAAGUCAGUUGUGAAAUCUCCGAGCUUAACUCGGAACGGUCAACUGAUACUGUCACACUAGAGUACAGAAGGGGCAAUCGGAAUUCUUGGUGUAGCGGUGAAAUGCGUAGAUAUCAAGAGGAACACCUGAGGCGAAGGCGGGUUGCUGGGCUGAUACUGACGCUGAGGCGCGAAAGCUAGGGUAGCAAACGGGAUUAGAUACCCCAGUAGUCCCUGAGCGGGC
rnacentral:rRNA from 1 species